AUACUUACUUGGCGUAGGGAUACGGUGAUCAUGCAGGCGGUUUCCCCCAGGGUGAGGCUGCUCCAUUGCACUAUGGAGUGGUUGACCCUUGCGAUAAUUUUUAUUUUUUAAAGGUUUCACUUCUACCGUGUGUGACUUGCACACACGUCACACA
rnacentral:snRNA from 1 species